CCUACGGGAGGCAGCAGUGGGGAAUUUUGCGCAAUGCUCGUAAGAGUGACGCAGCGACGCCGCGUGAAUGACGAAGGCCUUCGGGUCGUAAAGUUCUUUCGACAGGGAAGAAAAUGCAUUUAAGUAACUGUGUAUGUAUUGACGGUACCUGUAUACGCAGCCCCGGCUAACUCCGUGCCAGCAGCCGCGGUAAUACGGAGGGGGCGAGCGUUGUUCGGGGUGACUGGGCGUAAAGGGCACGUCGGCGGUGUUGUAAGUCAUUAGUCAAAGACUAGAGCUCAACUUUAGUAAGGCUAGUGAUACUGUAGUACUAGAGUAUAAGAGAGGAAGGCAGAAUACCUGGAGUAGCGGUGAAAUGCGUAGAUAUCA
rnacentral:rRNA from 1 species